GAACUCUUGGCGGGCCACCGAUUGAGUCCCUAUUUGGUCUUGCUACGAGUGGGAGUUAACCUAUCUGCCAAAUGUUACCACUGGCACGGGGCGCUCUUACCGCACCCUUUACACCCUUACCAGCCAAAGCUGGACGGUCUGCUCUCUGUUGCACUAGUCGUA
rnacentral:misc_RNA from 1 species